rnacentral:rRNA from 1 species
AACCCUGACGCAGCGACGCCGUGUGAGCGAUGAAGGCCUUCGGGCUGUAAAGCUCUGUCAGAGGGGAAGAAAGGGGGGACGGAAUAAUACCCGGCUCCAUUGACGGUACCCUCUGAGCAAGCACCGGCUAACUCCGUGCCAGCAGCCGCGGUAAUACGGAGGGUGCGAGUGUUAUUCGGAAUCACUGGGCGUAAAGAGCACGUAGGCGGAUAGGUAAGUCAGAUGUGAAAUCCCGGGGCUCAACUCCGGAACUGCAUUUGAUACUGCUUGUCUUGAGUGUGGUAGAGGGGGGUGGAAUUCCCGGUGUAGAGGUGAAAUUCGUAGAUAUCGGGAGGAACACCAGAGGCGAAGGCGACCCCCUGGGCCACUACUGACGCUGAGGUGCGAAAGCGUGGGGAGCAAACAGG